rnacentral:misc_RNA from 1 species
CCUCAAUUCGGCUCAAACGUUUCUGGCAUGACGUCUUGAUGUCUUUUCGCGUCUUUUGCGGCGGCGGCCAUGGCGCUGUCGUCGGUAAGCGUGGUCGGAAACGCGCUGCGGCUGNNNACCGAAAGGAAGUCGCUGCUGAACAUCUGGUUGUCGCCAUGUUGCCUCCCAGCCAUUCACCCCACUGCUCUACGACAUGCCGAUCUAUAUGAUCAGCAUCGGCUUUAGG